rnacentral:sRNA from 1 species
GCCGGGCAUGGUGGCAUAUACCUGUAAUCCCAGCAGCUUGGGAAGCUGAGACAGGAGGAUCAUGAGUUCAAAGCCAGCCUCAGCAAAAGCCAGGUGCUGAGCAACUCAGUGAGACCCUGUCUCUA